AAUGAAAGGCACUAAUUGGACAUUGCACUUCAAGAACUGUGCAGUCUCCCGAAGGGUGGGGUGCAUGAGUUGAAAACAUUUUAAGAAAUAUACACAAGGAAGUGCAAUUCAGUGUAGAAGAGAAAGAACACAGAUGCACGACACUGCAGGGGCAGAGGAAAGAGAAAGAAUACAGAUGCACGACACUGCAGGGGCAGAGGAAAGAGAAAGAACACACAUGCACGACACUGCAGGGGCAGAGGAAAGAGAAAGAACACAGAUGCACGACACUGCAGGGGCAGAGGAAAGAGAAAGAACACACAUGCACGACACUGCAGGGGCAGAGGAAAGAGAAAGAACACACAUGCACGACACUGCAGGGUCAGAGGAAAGAGAAAGAACACACAUGCACGACACUGCAGGGGCAGAGGAAAGAGAAAGAACACACAUGCACGACACUGCAGGGGCAGAGGGAAGAGAAAGAACACACAUGCACGACACUGCAGGGGCAGAGGAAAGAGAAAGAACACAGAUGCACGACACUGCAGGGGCAGAGGAAAGAGAAAGAACACACAUGCACGACACUGCAGGGGCAGAGGGAAGAGAAAGAACACACAUGCACGACACUGCAGGGGCAGAGGAAAGAGAAAGAACACACAUGCACGACACUGCAGGGGCAGAGGAAAGAGAAAGAACACACAUGCACGACACUGCAGGGGCAGAGGAAAGAGAAAGAACACACAUGCACGACACUGCAGGGGCAGAGGAAAGAGAAAGAACACAGAUGCACGACACUGCAGGGGCAGAGGAAAGAGAAAGAACACACAUGCACGACACUGCAGGGGCAGAGGGAAGAGAAAGAACACACACGCACGACACUGCAGGGGCAGAGGGAUGGCAUUUUCAGGAUGGGAGCAAGGAACAUUUCAUGGAGUACGCAUUGGAUUUGAGCUUGCCCUUGAGGAUCUGCACUACAGAAAGAAGAAGAUUUAUUUUUUGGAUGAAUAGAAAUCGUAUGUAUGAAAACGCGCUGUUUGGAAACCUGUACCUGUUGUGGAGUGGCCACACGGAGCUAACAACUGGAAACCUGUACCUGUUGCGGAGUGGCCACACGGAGCUAACAACAUGCUUUUCCUUGUGA
rnacentral:lncRNA from 1 species